GAUGAACGCUAGCGGGAGGCCUAACACAUGCAAGCCGAGCGGUAUUGUUUCUUCGGAAAUGAGAGAGCGGCGUACGGGUGCGUAACACGUGUGCAACCUGCCUUUAUCUGGGGGAUAGCCUUUCGAAAGGAAGAUUAAUACUCCAUAAUAUAUUGAGCGGCAUCGUUUAAUAUUGAAAGCUCCGGCGGAUAGAGAUGGGCACGCGCAAGAUUAGCUAGUUGGUGAGGUAACGGCUCACCAAGGCGAUGAUCUUUAGGGGGCCUGAGAGGGUGAUCCCCCACACUGGUACUGAGACACGGACCAGACUCCUACGGGAGGCAGCAGUGAGGAAUAUUGAUCAAUGGGUGCAAGCCUGAACCAGCCAUCCCGCGUGAAGGACGACUGCCCUAUGGGUUGUAAACUUCUUUUGUAUAGGGAUAAACCUACCCUCGAGAGGGUAGCUGAAGGUACUAUACGGAUAAGCACCGGCUAACUCCGUG
rnacentral:rRNA from 1 species